rnacentral:rRNA from 1 species
GGGCGUGUUCAGUGGCGUGAUCUAGACCCGAAGCGGAGUGAUCUACCCAUGGCCAGGUUGAAGCGACGGUAAGACGUCGUGGAGGACCGAACCCACUUCAGUUGAAAAUGGAGGGGAUGAGCUGUGGGUAGGGGUGAAAGGCCAAUCAAACUCCGUGAUAGCUGGUUCUCCCCGAAAUGCAUUUAGGUGCAGCGUUGCGUGUUUCUUGCCGGAGGUAGAGCUACUGGAUGGCCGAUGGGCCCUACAAGGUUACUGACGUCAGCCAAACUCCGAAUGCCGGUAAGUCAGAGCGCAGCAGUGAGACUGUGGGGGAUAAGCUUCAUAGUCGAGAGGGAAACAGCCCAGACCACCAACUAAGGCCCCUAAGCGUGUGCUAAGUGGGAAAGGAUGUGGAGUUGCUUAGACAACCAGGAGGUUGGCUUAGAAGCAGCCAUCCUUGAAAGAGUGCGUAAUAGCUCACUGGUCAAGUGAUUCCGCGCCGACAAUGUAGCGGGGCUCAAGUACACCGCCGAAGUUGUGGCAUUCACGCAUUACCCUAGCCUUCGUGGUUCAGGGGUGUGGAUGGGUAGGGGAGCGUCGUGUGGGCGGUGAAGUCGCGGUGUAAACCAGCGGUGGAGCCUACACGAGUGAGAAUGCAGGCAUGAGUAGCGAAAGACGGGUGAGAAACCCGUCCGCCGAAUGAUCAAGGGUUCCAGGGUCAAGCUAAUCUGCCCUGGGUAAGUCGGGACCUAAGGCGAGGCCGACAGGCGUAGUCGAUGGACAACGGGUUGAUAUUCCCGUACCGGCGAAAAACCGCCCAUGUUGAACGGGGGAUACUAACCACCGCCGGUCUUUCUUGUUGCGCCACUUGUGGUGUGAUGGUUGGGCUGGUGCUGGGACCUGAUCCCGGGAGGCAAGCGUAUUAACAGGUGUGACGCAGGAAGGUAGCCGGGCCGGGCGAUGGUAGCCCCGGUCCAAGGAUGUAGGGUCAGGGAUAGGCAAAUCCGUUCCUGUGUGUUUCGAGCACGAUCCUGAGAUCUGAUGGGACCCCCGCAUGGGGGGAUCCGGUGAUCCUAUGCUGCCUAGAAAAGCAUCGACGCGAGGUUUUAGCCGCCCGUACCCCAAACCGACACAGGUGAUCAGGUAGAGAAUACCAAGGCGAUCGAGAGAAUUAUGGUUAAGGAACUCGGCAAAAUGCCCCCGUAACUUCGGGAGAAGGGGGGCCUGCCCCGUGAUACAGACUUAGCUUUGUGGAGCGGGUGUGGGCCGCAGAGACCAGGGGGAAGCGACUGUUUACUAAAAACACAGGUCCGUGCGAAGUCGCAAGACGAUGUAUACGGACUGACUCCUGCCCGGUGCUGGAAGGUUAAGAGGACCGGUUAGCCCCUCGUGGGCGAAGCUGGGAAUUUAAGCCCCAGUAAACGGCGGUGGUAACUAUAACCAUCCUAAGGUAGCGAAAUUCCUUGUCGGGUAAGUUCCGACCUGCACGAAUGGAGUAACGACUUCCCCGCUGUCUCAACCAUAAACUCGGCGAAAUUGCAGUACGAGUAAAGAUGCUCGUUACGCGCAGCAGGACGGAAAGACCCCGAGACCUUUACUAUAGUUUGGUAUUGGUGUUCGGAGUGGCUUGUGUAGGAUAGGUGGGAGACGUUGAAACCCGGACGCCAGUUCGGGUGGAGUCAUCGUUGAAAUACCACUCUGGUCACUUUGGACAUCUAACUUCGGCCCGUGAUCCGGGUCAGGGACAGUGCCUGAUGGGUAGUUUAACUGGGGCGGUUGCCUCCUAAAAAGUAACGGAGGCGCCCAAAGGUUCCCUCAGCCUGGUUGGCAAUCAGGUGUCGAGUGUAAGUGCACAAGGGAGCUUGACUGUGAGAGAGACAUCUCAAGCAGGGACGAAAGUCGGGACUAGUGAUCCGGCGGUACAUUGUGGAAUGGCCGUCGCUCAACGGAUAAAAGGUACCUCGGGGAUAACAGGCUGAUCUUGCCCAAGAGUCCAUAUCGACGGCAUGGUUUGGCACCUCGAUGUCGGCUCGUCGCAUCCUGGGGCUGGAGUAGGUCCCAAGGGUUGGGCUGUUCGCCCAUUAAAGCGGUACGCGAGCUGGGUUUAGAACGUCGUGAGACAGUUCGGUCCCUAUCCGCUGCGCGCGCAGGAAAUUUGAGAAGGGCUGUCCUUAGUACGAGAGGACCGGGACGGACGAACCUCUGGUGUGUCAGUUGUACUGCCAAGUGCACCGCUGAUUAGCUACGUUCGGAUGGGAUAACCGCUGAAAGCAUCUAAGCGGGAAGCUCGCUUCAAGAUGAGAUUUCCAAACACAUUAUGUGUGAGAGGCCCCCAGCCAGACCACUGGGUUGAUAGGCCGGAUGUGGAAGCGAGGACUAAAGACUCGUGAAGCUGACCGGUACUAAUAGGCCAACAACUUACACCACA